GAUGAACGCUGGCGGCGUGCCUAAUACAUGCAAGUCGAGCGAACGGACGAGAAGCUUGCUUCUCUGAUGUCAGCGGCGGACGGGUGAGUAACACGUGGAUAACCUGCCUAUAAGACUGGGAUAACUUCGGGAAACCGGAGCUAAUACCGGAUAAUAUUUUGAACCGCAUGGUUCAAAAGUGAAAGACGGUCUUGCUGUCACUUAUAGAUGGAUCCGCGCUGCAUUAGCUAGUUGGUAAGGUAACGGCUUACCAAGGCAACGAUGCAUAGCCGACCUGAGAGGGUGAUCGGCCACACUGGAACUGAGACACGGUCCAGACUCCUACGGGAGGCAGCAGUAGGGAAUCUUCCGCAAUGGGCGAAAGCCUGACGGAGCAACGCCGCGUGAGUGAUGAAGGUCUUCGGAUCGUAAAACUCUGUUAUUAGGGAAGAACAUAUGUGUAAGUAACUGUGCACAUCUUGACGGUACCUAAUCAGAAAGCCACGGCUAACUACGUG
rnacentral:rRNA from 1 species